rnacentral:rRNA from 1 species
GAUGAACGCUGGCGGCGUGCUUAACACAUGCAAGUCGAACGGAAAGGCCCAAGCUUGCUUGGGUGCUCGAGUGGCGAACGGGUGAGUAACACGUGUGUGAUAUGCCCUGCACUUUCGGAUAAGCCUUGGAAACUGGGUCUAAUACAGGAUAGGACAAUCGUUUCGUGUCGGUGGUGGAGAGUAUUACGGUGUGGGGUGAGCUCGCGGCCUAUCAGCUUGUUGGUGGGGUAAUGGGCUACCAAGGCGUCGACGGGUAGGCGGCCAGUGAGGGUGCGCGGCCGCACUGGGACUGAGGGACGGCCCAGACAGGGACGGGAGGCAGCUGUGCGGAAGAUUGCACAAGGGGCGCCGGCCGGAUGAAGCGAGGCUGCGUGUGGGAUGACGGUCUUCGGGUUGUAAACUCCAUUCGCCAAGGACGAAGCGUGUUGUGACGGUACUUGGAGAAGAAGCACCGGCUAACUACGUG